ensembl:lncRNA
GAUAUAAAUUUUGAAUUAAAAUUGACUGAAUAAAAUUAUUUGGAUUUGAAUAAGUUUAGCACUGAAUUUGCUUUGAAGAAGCAAGAUAAUAAAGAUUUUUUAUUUAUUUUUUGUCUGUAUGUGUUUUAUGCAAUCUCAGAUCAAAGGUCUGAGAGUGGAUACAGACAGAAGAGCUGAAAGCAACACUCCGUUUUCAUUCUCAGGUUAAUGUUUCUCCUUUGAUUAUGAAAAUUACAUUCACAAGGCUGACUGUAUAUUAUCUAGCUCAAGUUCCUGAUGAAUGUAUGAUGGCAGCUCUAUAAACUUUCUUCUUUUUUCUCUCCCAUUUUUAUCCACCCCUUAUUAAGGAUCUCCAUACUCUCUGCUUCACAAUGUAUGGGUUAAUAAUUCCAGUCAGGAUGAAGAUGAGGAUCUUUUAUCAUCUGACGACUCUGUUGAUGGACUCACAGCUCAUACUGAUUCAACAUCCAGUUCUCUCACUGACUCCAGCGUUACAAUAACGAACAGCAUCAACACUCUGCAGGCUGGUGAGGAUCAGGUGAGGUAAACAUUUAUUCAUAAAGGCUUUUUGUGAAUGUGUAGUAUCUAGAAUCAUGCAUGCAAUGUGUAUCAAGAAAAAUCUUUUUUUUUUUCAUUAGUCAAUUUAUCCUCAGGAAUCAUUUGACUCUUUUGAGUUUGAAUCAGACUCUACGGCAUCUGAACAAGACUUUCCAGUCCAAGAGAAAUUACCCAUCUAUAGUCCACAGGACGGGCCGUUCCCCUUCAUCAGUGAAGAAACAUCCACAGAGACCAGACGGUAUUUGAUCUCUCACACCCAUGCAUACAGUCAUGAAUGCAUAAUAUUCUUUCUUAAAUACUUAUUUUAGAUGCUUAACUAUGUUUCACUA